GUGAGUGGCGGACGGGUGAGUAACACGUGGGUAACCUGCCCUAAAGUGGGGGAUAACAUUUGGAAACAGAUGCUAAUACCGCAUAAAACCUAGCACCGCAUGGUGCAAGGUUGAAAGAUGGUUUCGGCUAUCACUUUAGGAUGGACCCGCGGUGCAUUAGUUAGUUGGUGAGGUAAAGGCUCACCAAGACCGUGAUGCAUAGCCGACCUGAGAGGGUAAUCGGCCACACUGGGACUGAGACACGGCCCAGACUCCUACGGGAGGCAGCAGUAGGGAAUCUUCCACAAUGGACGAAAGUCUGAUGGAGCAACGCCGCGUGAGUGAAGAAGGUUUUCGGAUCGUAAAACUCUGUUGUUGGAGAAGAACGUAUUUGAUAGUAACUGAUCAGGUAGUGACGGUAUCCAACCAGAAAGCCACGGCUAACUACGUGCCAGCAGCCGCGGUAAUACGUAGGUGGCAAGCGUUGUCCGGAUUUAUUGGGCGUCAAGCGAGCGCAGGCGGUUUCUUAAGUCUGAUGUGAAAGCCUUCGGCUCAACCGAAGAAGUGCAUCGGAAACUGGGAAACUUGAGUGCAGAAGAGGACAGUGGAACUCCAUGUGUAGCGGUGAAAUGCGUAGAUAUAUGGAAGAACACCAGUGGCGAAGGCGGCUGUCUGGUCUGUAACUGACGCUGAGGCUCGAAAGCAUGGGUAGCAAACAGGAUUAGAUACCCUGGUAGUCCAUGCCGUAAACGAUGAGUGCUAGGUGUUGGAGGGUUUCCGCCCUUCAGUGCCGCAGCUAACGCAUUAAGCACUCCGCCUGGGGAGUACGACCGCAAGGUUGAAACUCAAAGGAAUUGACAGGGGCCCGCACAAGCGGUGGAGCAUGUGGUUUAAUUCGAAGCAACGCGAAGAACCUUACCAGGUCUUGACAUCCUUUGACCACUCUAGAGAUAGAGCUUUCCCUUCGGGGACAAAGUGACAGGUGGUGCAUGGUUGUCGUCAGCUCGUGUCGUGAGAUGUUGGGUUAAGUCCCGCAACGAGCGCAACCCUUAUUACUAGUUGCCAGCAUUUAGUUGGGCACUCUAGUGAGACUGCCGGUGACAAACCGGAGGAAGGUGGGGACGACGUCAAAUCAUCAUGCCCCUUAUGACCUGGGCUACACACGUGCUACAAUGGAUGGUACAACGAGUCGCGAGACCGCGAGGUUUAGCUAAUCUCUUAAAACCAUUCUCAGUUCGGAUUGUAGGCUGCAACUCGCCUACAUGAAGCCGGAAUCGCUAGUAAUCGCGGAUCAGCAUGCCGCGGUGAAUACGUUCCCGGGCCUUGUA
rnacentral:rRNA from 2 species